rnacentral:rRNA from 1 species
GACGAACGCUGGCGGCGCUGCUUAACACAUGCAAGUCGAACGAUGAAGCUUGCUGCUUGCACUGGGCGAAUUACUGACCAACGGCCUGAGUAACACCUGAGUAACCUGCCCUUUACUUCGCGGAUAAGCUUGGGAAACUGGGUCUAAUACCGGAUAUUCUGCACGGACCGAUGGAUGUGUAGGAAAGAUUUUUUGGUAAGGGAUGGGCUCGCCGCCUAACAUUUUGUUGGUGGGGUGAUGGCCUACCAAGACAACGACUGGUAGCCGGCCUGAGAGGGCGACCGGCCACACUGGGACUGAGACACGGCCCAUCACUCCUACGGGAGGCAGCAGUGGGGAAUAUUGCACAAUGGGGGAAACCCUGAUGCACCCACACCUCGUGGCGCAUGACAGCCUUCUGGUUGUAAACCUCUGUCAUUAGCGAAGAAUCGAAAGUGACCGUACCUGCAGAAGAAGUACCGGCUAACUACCUGCCACCAUCCGCGGUAAUACGUAGGGCACUAUCGCUGUCCGGAAUUAUUGGGCGUAAAGAGCUCGUACGUGGUUUGUCGCGUCUGCUGUGGAAACGUGCCGCUUAACGGUGCGCGUGCAGUGGGUACGGGCGGACUAGAGUGCAGUAGGGGAGUCUGGAAUUCCUGGUGUAGCGGUGAAAUGCGCAGAUAUCAGGAGGAACACCGGUGGCGAAGGCGGGACUCUGGGCUGUUACUGACGCUGAGGAGCGAAAGCAUGGGGAGCGAACAGGAUUAGAUACCCUGGUAGUCCAUGCCGUAAACGUUGGGCACUAGGUGUGGGGUCCAUUCCACGGAUUCUGCGCCGUAGCUAACGCAUUAAGUGCCCCGCCUGGGGAGUACGGCCGCAAGGCUAAAACUCAAAGGAAUUGACGGGGGCCCGCACAAGCGGCGGAGCAUGCGGAUUAAUUCGAUGCAACGCGAAGAACCUUACCGAGGCUUGACAUGCACUAGAUCAUCGCAGAGAUGUGGUUUUCUUUUUGACUGGUGUACAGGUGGUGCAUGGUUGUCGUCAGCUCGUGUCGUGAGAUGUUGGGUUAAGUCCCGCAACGAGCGCAACCCUCGUUCUAUGUUGCCAGCACGUGAUGGUGGGAACUCAUGGGAGACUGCCGGGGUCAACUCGGAGGAAGGUGGGGAUGACGUCAAAUCAUCAAGCCCUUUAUGUCUUGGGCUUCACGCAUGCUACAAUGGCCGGUACAGAGGGUGGCGAUACCGUGAGGUGGAGCGAAUCUCUUAAAGCCGGUCUCAGUUCGGAUCGUAGUCUGCAACUCGACUACGUGAAGUCGGAGUCGCUAGUAAUCGCAGAUCAGCAAUGCUGCGGUGAAUACGUUCCCGGGCCU